UGGGGAAUUUUGGACAAUGGGCGAAAGCCUGAUCCAGCAAUGCCGCGUGUGUGAAGAAGGCCUUCGGGUUGUAAAGCACUUUUGUCCGGAAAGAAAUCCUUGGCUCUAAUACAGUCGGGGGAUGACGGUACCGGAAGAAUAAGCACCGGCUAACUACGUGCCAGCAGCCGCGGUAAUACGUAGGGUGCAAGCGUUAAUCGGAAUUACUGGGCGUAAAGCGUGCGCAGGCGGUUUGCUAAGACCGAUGUGAAAUCCCCGGGCUCAACCUGGGAACUGCAUUGGUGACUGGCAGGCUAGAGUAUGGCAGAGGGGGGUAGAAUUCCACGUGUAGCAGUGAAAUGCGUAGAGAUGUGGAGGAAUACCGAUGGCGAAGGCAGCCCCCUGGGCCAAAUACUGACGCUCAUGCACGAAAGCGUGGGGAGCAAACAGGAUUAGAUACCCUGGUAGUCCACGCCCUAAACGAUGUCAACUGGUUGUUGGGGAUUCAUUUCCUUAGUAACGUAGCUAACGCGUGAAGUUGACCGCCUGGGGAGUACGGUCGCAAGAUU
rnacentral:rRNA from 1 species